rnacentral:lncRNA from 1 species
GGGAUUACAGGCGUGAGCCACUGCGCCCCACCCUCACUUGUUUAUUUACUUGUUUUGUAAACAUUAUUUACUGAGCAUGAUCAAACUGCUAGACUGGAGAGGCUGCUGCAAUCUCCUCCCUCUGCCCCCGCCAUUUCCUGGUACCCAUCCUUGCUGGUGGUGUCUGCAAUCAGCGGGGCCCUGGCUGAGUUCACGGGAAAGGAAAUGGCUCAUUGCUUCAGCCUUUAGACCGGGGGGCAGGGAGGGCCUGUCGGGAGGCCGCCUAGUCAGGGGCGUGUCAGAGGCCAGAGGGGCCGGGGCCCAGCAGCUGGGGCUUGGUAAGCUCUGGAGCCUGGGCUCCAGGCCAGCUCGCUGCCAACCUCCACCUGAGACCACCCCACCCCCAACCCCCUUCCUUCUCUCCCCUGCUGCCGAGGCGCGCCCUUCCGGAGUGAAACUUUGGUUUCUCACGACCCGGAAGGCUUGAAGCAAACCUGCAAUUACUCACUGCCUGGUCUGUGCGGGCUGCAGCUCUCAGACUCAGGAUGAGGUGGCGGUGGCGCUGUCGACUGACUCCUUGGCUUGUUCAGGCUGUGCAACCUCAGUCUCUCCUCCGCGAUGGCUGCCCCUGUCUGCUCAUCCUCACCUGGCCUUCAGCAGGUGCUCAGCUGACAUCGGUGAGGGAAUGGGAGUGAUUCGUCAUCACAGUAACCGUGUACUUCAGAGAUGGGAUCUUUCUACGUCACCCAGGCUGGAAUGCAAUGGUUAUUCACAGGUGUGAUCAUAGCUGGUCUUGACCUCGUGGGCUCAAGUGAUCCUCCUGCCUCAGCCUCCUGAACAGCUGGGACUACAGGUGUGUGCCACCACAUUUGGCUUACCAUUAUUUUAGAAGGACUUACACCUGUCUUGCUAUCUGGAGUCUGCAGAUUUCUUACCCAAGGGCUGUGCGGAUCAGAGC